rnacentral:rRNA from 1 species
UACGUAGGGGGCGAGCGUUGUCCGGAGUUACUGGGCGUAAAGGGCAUGCAGGCGGUCCGACACGUUUUGUGUGACAGCGGGUGGCUUAACUACCCGAGGAUACGAAAGACGGUUGGACUUGAGGACUCGAGAGGGACACGGAAUUCCGGGUGGAGUGGUGAAAUGCGUAGAGAUCCGGAGGAACACCGGUGGCGAAGGCGGCAUCCUGGACCAACACUGACGCUGAGUGAGCGAAAGCCAGGGGAGCAAACGGG